UACAGAGGGUGCAAGCGUUGUUCGGAAUUAUUGGGCGUAAAGCGCGUGUAGGCGGCUUUGCAAGUCGGGUGUGAAAUCCCUCAGCUCAACUGAGGAAGUGCGCCCGAAACUGCAGAGCUUGAGUACCGGAGAGGAUGGCGGAAUUCCCCAAGUAGAGAUGAAAUUCGUAGAUAUGGGGAGGAACACCGGUGGCGAAGGCGGCCAUCUGGACGGAUACUGACGCUGAGACGCGAAAGCGUGGGGAGCAAACAGG
rnacentral:rRNA from 1 species